AUUGAACGCUGGCGGCAGGCCUAACACAUGCAAGUCGAACGAGUGGCGGACGGGUGAGUAAUGUCUGGGAAACUGCCUGACGGAGGCGGAUAACUACCGGAAACGGUGGCUACUACCGCAUACCACCGGUUGUGCCCAGAUGGGAUUAGCUAGUAGGUGGGGUAACGGCUCACCUAGGCGACGAUCCCUAGCUGGUCUGAGAGGAUGACCGGCCACACUGGAACGGAGACACGGUCCAGACUCCUACGGGAGGCAGCAGUGGGGAAUAUUGCACAAUGGGCGAAAGCCUGAUGCAGCCAGGCCGCGUGAAUGAAGAAGGCCUUCGGGUUGUAAAGCACUUUCGGCGAGGAGGCGUUACUCGCAGAGGAAGCACCGGCUAACUCCGUGCCAGCAGCCGCGGUAAUUC
rnacentral:rRNA from 1 species